rnacentral:tRNA from 1 species
GACCCGUUAGCUCAGUUGGUAGAGCAUCUGACUUUUAAUCAGAGGGUCGAAGGUUCGAAUCCUUCACGGGUCACCA